UACGUAGGUGGCAAGCGUUGUCCGGAUUUACUGGACGUAAAGAGCGCGCAGGCGGUCGUUCAAGUCGCGUGUGAAAGCCCCCGGCUCAACUGGGGAGGGUCACGCGAUACUGAUCGACUCGAAGGCAGGAGAGGGUAGUGGAAUUCCCGGUGUAGUGGUGAAAUGCGUAGAUAUCGGGAGGAACACCAGUGGCGAAGGCGACUACCUGGCCUGUUCUUGACGCUGAGGCGCGAAAGCUGGGGGAGCAAACGGG
rnacentral:rRNA from 1 species